CGCAUGCCUGGGUUAUAUCCUGAUAAUUCAAAUCCAGAUGGAUAUUUUUCAUUUAAAACCAUGGUUUCAGAGGAAACAAAAAGUUGAAUUAAAAAUUUUGACUUUUGUCCAUUUGGUAUAAUCAAGAAGAAGGCCUUUACAUAUAAAACAUCGUUUGAACAGAAUUCAGUGGAAGAAUAGAACAGAAAUGUAGGAGAAAGAAGAAGGAGCAGAGUCCCGAGUCCUCAUACUAGGGUGAUUGAAAGCAUUCUUCACAAAUGAAUUUUCAUGAAGUAUCUGCAAAAGCAGUUAUUGAACUGGACAAGACACAGUUAAGCAGGAUACUCCUGAUGACAGCAAGUGCUUUCUGAAUCAACAAAGC
ensembl:lncRNA